GAUGAACGCUAGCGGGAGGCCUAACACAUGCAAGCCGAGCAGUAGGUUUCCUUCGGGAGACUGAGAGCGGCGCACGGGUGCGGAACACGUGUGCAACCUGCCUUUAUCAGGGGGAUAGCCUUUCGAAAGGAAGAUUAAUACCCCAUAAUAUAAUGAGUGGCAUCACUUAUUAUUGAAAACUCCGGUGGAUAGAGAUGGGC
rnacentral:rRNA from 1 species